rnacentral:rRNA from 1 species
UAGGGAAUCUUCGGCAAUGGGGGGAACCCUGACCGAGCAACGCCGCGUGAGUGAAGAAGGUUUUCGGAUCGUAAAGCUCUGUUGUUAAGGAAGAACGAGUGUGAGAAUGGAAAGUUCAUACUGUGACGGUACUUAACCAGAAAGGGACGGCUAACUACGUGCCAGCAGCCGCGGUAAUACGUAGGUCCCGAUCGUUGUCCGGAUUUAUUGGGCGUAAAGCGAGCGCAGGCGGUUAGAUAAGUCUGAAGUUAAAGGCAGUGGCUCAACCAUUGUAGGCUUUGGAAACUGUUUAACUUGAGUGCAGAAGGGGAGAGUGGAAUUCCAUGUGUAGCGGUGAAAUGCGUAGAUAUAUGGAGGAACACCGGUGGCGAAAGCGGCUCUCUGGUCUGUAACUGACGCUGAGGCUCGAAAGCGUGGGGAGCGAACAGG